rnacentral:rRNA from 1 species
GAUGAACGCUGGCGGCGUGCCUAAUACAUGCAAGUCGAGCGAACAGACGAGGAGCUUGCUCCUCUGACGUUAGCGGCGGACGGGUGAGUAACACGUGGAUAACCUACCUAUAAGACUGGGAUAACUUCGGGAAACCGGAGCUAAUCCCGGAUAAUAUAUUGAACCGCAUGGUUCAUUAGUGAAAGACGGUUUUGCUGUCACUUAUAGAUGGAUCCGCGCCGCAUUAGCUAGUUGGUAAGGUAACGGCUUACCAAGGCAACGAUGCGUAGCCGACCUGAGAGGGUGAUCGGCCACACUGGAACUGAGACACGGUCCAGACUCCUACGGGAGGCAGCAGUAGGGAAUCUUCCGCAAUGGGCGAAAGCCUGACGGAGCAACGCCGCGUGAGUGAUGAAGGUCUUCGGAUCGUAAAACUCUGUUAUUAGGGAAGAACAAAUGUGUAAGUAACUAUGCACGUCUUGACGGUACCUAAUCAGAAAGCCACGGCUAACUACGUG